UACGUAGGGACCAAGCGUUGUUCGGAUUUACUGGGCGUAAAGGGCGCGUAGGCGGCAAUUCAAGUCAUCUGUGAAAUCUCCGGGCUUAACUCGGAACGGUCAGGUGAUACUGCUUUGCUAGAGUGCAGAAGGGGCAACUGGAAUUCUCGGUGUAGCGGUGAAAUGCGUAGAUAUCGAGAGGAACACCUGCGGCGAAGGCGGGUGCUGGGCUGACACGUGACGCUGAGGCGCGAAAGCUAGGGGAGCGAACGGG
rnacentral:rRNA from 1 species